CCUGCCGCAGAGCCAUUAGUCCCGCUACGUACCCUGACGAGGGUGAGAUGCGCGUCCGCCCACUCGGAGAGGCGCGCGAUAUAGUUCGCCGGCUCUCUGCCGGGCUGGCCCGCCAUGGCAGCCGCGGCUCCUCCGCUCGCGCCUCCGUCGUCCGCACCAGGCCGCAGCGCCGCCUGCUGGUCGCCUGUGGGGGUUGCAUUGCCUGAUUGCCUCUCGCUCUGUUUCAAAGGAGCAGCAGCGCUUCCCCCGCCCGCUCCCCCUGCUGCUGCUGCCGCCGCCUUUUAUUCUUUGACAUAACAGGCCAACCCAACACCCACCACUGCAACAAGCACUUCAAAAGGGAAUGAGAAGCCGAGGUAGCUUGUUUACAUGGCAGCGUGGAUUAAGCAUCCUUGCUGCCCUUAUACUUUUUCUUGCACGAAGAUUAUCUCUACACAGUAGCGCCGUAAGAAGCUCUGAAGGGGCCUGUGUCUGCAAGAGCCGGAGCGUGAGGAGCUCAGCUGCCUUAUACUGAGUCGGGCUAUUGGUCCAUCUAGCUAAGAACUGCCUACACAGACUGGCAGCGGCUGGCUUCUCCAAGGUUACACACCAGAGUAUCUCCCAGUAUCUCUGCCAGUGGCACUUUUACCCCUGGACUUUGGGGCCGAAGUCCAGGGCCUCUCCAUACCCCCUGGGGGCUCCCAAAUCCUCCUUUUUCUGCCUGGGGAAUUUGUAACUACAGGAGGCAGUUUGAAACUGAGCAGUCCAGCAGAUGUGUAUUUCAGCAACUCUUAGAUGCCAAAAUCUUUCGCUUCCUUUCUUUAUUUGGCUCUGUAAAUAAGCUUUGUCAAGGCUUAAUUCUAGAGACAGUAAGGGAAAAGAUACUACAUUGCCUGGAGAAGAAGCUUCACCCUGGAAAUACAUCAACUUGAAAAGGAAACUACAGACAAAUGAACAACAAUAAGACAACCUUCAUUUUGUGAAUCAUCAGGAAAAGCAAACAAAAACAAAAACCCAUAGAUUUCUUCACGUUUAAGAAAAUCACCUCAUAACAAAAAUCAUGACACAAUGUGUAAAGUAUAAAAGAUCACAGGUGGUCACCACUAACAUGGAGAGAAGUCCUUUCUUGCCAAAGAAAAUGGCUACUUGGUUUCUUUUCUGGCCCAGUGGCCUUUUCAAACCAAUCACAGAAGACAUCAAUCAUGAUUAAACAUUGAUCUGACCAUUUUGACUACUGUUUUGCAGACUGAAAGGUAAUUUUCCAGUUUACAAGGAACUGCAAUCUAUCUGUUCUCUCAAGAGAAAGAGAUACUUCUCCAAGGCAGGACAUGAAUGUGUCAGGUGGGAAGGAGCAUUCAUCAAAGUCUUUAAGUUCCAUUAACUGGUUCUCCUGCAUUUCCAUGAAGAUGAUCUCUCGUCCUGCAGCUUUUUGAGUUUUGGUCCAAGGAAGAGCCACCAAGCAAAUCCCAAAGCAACACAUACAAUGGACUCCACGUAAUAACCAUCAAGGGUAAUGACGCAAGAGCCACCUGCUUUUGUACACAGCUGCGAGAAAGGAGAAGAAAAAGUGUUAUAUUCACAUACACACACACCUCAAGUUAAAAGUACAUUGAGCAUUAUGGAUGAACAAGCUGCAUUUAAUGUAAGAGUCAUUAUAUUAAAAAUACGUUUUCCUGA